UUACAGCCAUAUCACAUUGAAACAUUGGUUCCCAUACAAUUAAUGAAGUUAAGCAAUGCGAAGCCUGGUCAGUACUUAGAUGGGUGACUGCUUGGGAAUACCAGGUGCUGUAAG
rnacentral:rRNA from 1 species